GCGCCCGUGGUGGAACGGUAGACACGUCAGGCUUAGAACCUGAUGAUCGCAAGAUCGUGGGGGUUCGAAUCCCUCCGGGCGCA
rnacentral:tRNA from 1 species